rnacentral:rRNA from 1 species
CCUACGGGAGGCUGCAGUGAGGAAUAUUGGUCAAUGGGCGAGAGCCUGAACCAGCCAAGUCGCGUGAGGGAGUACUGCCCUAUGGGUUGUAAACCUCUUUUGUCGGGGAGCAAAAGCCGGACGUGUCCGGCUGUGAGAGUACCCGAAGAAAAAACAUCGGCUAAAUCCGUUCCAGCAGCCGCGGUAAUACGGGGGGUCCGAGCGUUACCCGGGUUUUUUGGGUUUAAAGGGUGCGUCGGCGGGCUUUUAAGUCAGCGGUGAAAGUCUGGGGCUCAACCAUAGAAUUGCCGUUGAAACUGGGGGGCUUGAGUACGGUGGAGGCAGGCGGAAUGCGUGGUGUAGCGGUGAAAUGCUUAGAUAUCACGCAGAACCCCGAUUGCGAAGGCAGCUUGCCAAGCCGUGACUGACGCUGAUGCACGAAAGCGUGGGGAUCAAACAGGAUUAGAUACCCUUGUAGUC